CAGCAGCCGCGGGAACACGAAGGGUGCAAGCGUUAAUCGGAAUUACUGGGCGUAAAGCGUGCGUAGGCGGUUUGUUAAGUCUGCUGUGAAAUCCCCGGGCUCAACCUGGGAAUGGCAGUGGAUACUGGCAAGCUAGAGUGUGUCAGAGGAUGGUGGAAUUCCCGGUGUAGCGGUGAAAUGCGUAGAGAUCGGGAGGAACAUCAGUGGCGAAGGCGGCCAUCUGGGACAACACUGACGCUGAGGCACGAAAGCGUGGGGAGCAAACAGGAUUAGAUACCCGCGUAGUCCCUGUCUCUUAUAC
rnacentral:rRNA from 1 species